rnacentral:rRNA from 1 species
AAUCUCGCCCUGUGGUGGAUUCAUCCGGAUUUAUUGGGUUUAAAGGGUGCGCAGGCGGACUGUUAAGACAGCGGUAAAAUGUCGGUGCUCAACACCGGCCGGCCGUUGAAACUGGCAGCCUUGAGUGAGCGAGAAGUAUGCGGAAUGCGUGGUGUAGCGGUGAAAUGCAUAGAUAUCACGCAGAACUCCGAUUGCGAAGGCAGCAUACCGGCGCUCAACUGACGCUCAGGCACGAAAGCGUGGGUAUCGAACAGGCUUAGAUACCCUGGUAGUCCACGCAGUAAACGAUGAAUGCUCACUGUCCGGGCCGUUUAAGGCCUGGGUGGUCAAGCGAAAGCGUUAAGCAUUCCACCUGGGGAGUACGCCGGCAACGGUGAAACUCAAAGGAAUUGACGGGGGCCCGCACAAGCGGAGGAACAUGUGGUUUAAUUCGAUGAUACGCGAGGAACCUUACCCGGGCUCAAACGGAAGGGGACAGUAUGAGAAAUCAUACAUUCCUUCGGGACCGCUUCCGAGGUGCUGCAUGGUUGUCGUCAGCUCGUGCCGUGAGGUGUCGGCUUAAGUGCCAUAACGAGCGCAACCCCUAUCGACAGUUGCUAGCAGGUAAAGCUGAGGACUCUGUCGAGACUGCCGGCGCAAGCUGUGAGGAAGGCGGGGAUGACGUCAAAUCAGCACGGCCCUUACGUCCGGGGCGACACACGUGUUACAAUGGCAGGUACAGCGGGAAGCCACCCGGCGACGGGGCGCAGAACCCGAAACCUGUCUCAGUUCGGAUUGGAGUCUGCAACCCGACUCCAUGAAGCUGGAUUCGCUAGUAAUCGCGCAUCAGCCACGGGCGCGGUGAAUACGUUUCCC